GACAGAGGCCUCAAGCGUUAGGCGGAAUCACUGGGCUUAAAGCGUGUGUAGGCGGAUCGUUAAGUGUCUUGUGAAAUCCCACGGCUCACCCGUGGAACGGCUGGGCAUACUGGCGAUCUUGGGCCAACUAGGGGCAACUGGAACAAGCGGUGGAGCGGUGAAAUGCGUAGAUAUCGCUUGGAACGCCAAAGGUGAAAACAGGUUGCUGGGG
rnacentral:rRNA from 1 species